rnacentral:rRNA from 1 species
CGAAACCGGGCGAUCUAUCCAUGACCAGGGUGAAGGUUGGGUAACACCAACUGGAGGCCCGAACCGAAAUCUGUUGAAAAAGAUUCGGAUGAGUUGUGGAUCGGAGUGAAAGGCUAAACAAACUUGGAAAUAGCUGGUUCUCUCCGAAAACUAUUUAGGUAGUGCCUCAAGUAUCACCGACGGGGGUAAAGCACUGUUAUGGCUAGGGGGUCAUCGCGACUUACCAAACCAUUGCAAACUCAGAAUACCGUUGAGUGCGAGCUUGGGAGACAGACAUCGGGUGCUAACGUCCGGUGUCGAGAGGGAAACAACCCAGACCGCCGAUUAAGGUCCCCAAGCCAUAGUUAAGUGGGAAACGAGGUGGGAAGGCUCAGACAGCCAGGAGGUUGGCUUAGAAGCAGCCAUCCUUUAAAGAAAGCGUAAUAGCUCACUGGUCGAGUCGUCCUGCGCGGAAGAUGUAACGGGG